rnacentral:siRNA from 1 species
AGAGAUGUGAAAUGGUCGUUGCA